rnacentral:ncRNA from 2 species
AUCUUAUCAAGACAGACGGAGGGACAGGCCCUGUGAAGUCGAGCAACCCCAUUUUUAUGGUAGGUGCUAAAUCCUGCAGGACAAGUAGUUCUGAAAGAUAAGUG